GACGAACGCUGGCGGCGUGCUUAACACAUGCAAGUCGAACGGUAAGGCCCUUCGGGGUACACGAGUGGCGAACGGGUGAGUAACACGUGGGUGAUCUGCCCUGCACUUCGGGAUAAGCCUGGGAAACUGGGUCUAAUACCGGAUAGGACCACUGCCUGCAUGGGUGGUGGGGGAAAGCUUUUGCGGUGUGGGAUGGGCCCGCGGCCUAUCGGCUUGGUGGUGGGGUGAUGGCCUACCAAGGCGACGACGGGUAGCCGGCCUGAGAGGGUGACCGGCCACACUGGGACUGAGAUACGGCCCAGACUCCUACGGGAGGCAGCAGUGGGGAAUAUUGCACAAUGGGCGCAAGCCUGAUGCAGCGACGCCGCGUGAGGGAUGACGGCCUUCGGGUUGUAAACCUCUUUCAGCACCGACGAAGCGCAAGUGACGGUAGGUGCAGAAGAAGGACCGGCCAACUACGUGCCAGCAGCCGCCGUAA
rnacentral:rRNA from 1 species